rnacentral:rRNA from 1 species
GACGAACGCUGGCGGCGUGCUUAACACAUGCCAGUCGAACGGAAAGGCCCUGCUUGCAGGGUACUCGAGUGGCGAACGGGUGAGUAACACGUGGGUGAUCUGCCCUGCACUUCGGGAUAAGCCUGGGAAACUGGGUCUAAUACCGGAUAGGAGCCAUUUUUAGUGUGAUGGUUGGAAAGUUUUUUCGGUGUAGGAUGAGCUCGCGGCCUAUCAGCUUGUUGGUGGGGUAAUGGCCUACCAAGGCGGCGACGGGUAGCCGGCCUGAGAGGGUGGACGGCCACAUUGGGACUGAGAUACGGCCCAGACUCCUACGGGAGGCAGCAGUGGGGAAUAUUGCACAAUGGGCGCAAGCCUGAAGCAGCGACGCCGCGUGGGGGAUGACGGCCUUCGGGUUGUAAACUCCUUUCGCUAGGGACGAAGCUUUCUGUGACGGUACCUAGAUAAGAAGCACCGGCUAACUACGUG